GUCAAGAUAGCUUAAUUGGCAAAGCGUUUGAUGUGGGUUCGAAUCCCACAAUUGACA
rnacentral:tRNA from 1 species